rnacentral:rRNA from 1 species
UAAGGAAUAUUGGUCAAUGGACGCAAGUCUGAACCAGCCAUGCCGCGUGAAGGAUGAAGGUCCUCUGGAUUGUAAACUUCUUUUAUCUGGGACGAAAACGGGAUUUUUAUCUCAAUUGACGGUACCAGAGGAAUAAGCACCGGCUAACUCCGUGCCAGCAGCCGCGGUAAUACGGAGGGUGCGAGCGUUAUCCGGAUUUACUGGGUUUAAAGGGUGCGUAGGUGGGCUUAUAAGUCAGUGGUGAAAUCUCCGAGCUUAACUUGGAAACUGCCGUUGAUACUAUAGGUCUUGAAUUAUCUGGAGGUAAGCGGAAUAUGUCAUGUAGCGGUGAAAUGCUUAGAUAUGACAUUGAACACCAAUUGCGAAGGCAGCUUACUACAUAUAAAUUGACGCUGAGGCACGAAAGCGUGGGGAUCAAACA